rnacentral:rRNA from 1 species
CCAUGCAGUCGAGCGGUAAGGCCCUUCGGGGUACACGAGCGGCGAACGGGUGAGUAACACGUGAGCAACCUGCCCCUGACUCCGGGAUAAGCGGUGGAAACGCCGUCUAAUACCGGAUAUGACACACCAUCUCCUGGUGGUGUGUGGAAAGUUUUAUCGGUCAGGGAUGGGCUCGCGGCCUAUCAGCUUGUUGGUGGGGUAAAGGCCUACCAAGGCGAUUACGGGUAGCCGGCCUGAGAGGGCGACCGGCCACACUGGGACUGAGACACGGCCCAGACUCCUGCGGGAGGCAGCAGUGGGGAAUAUUGCACAAUGGGCGAAAGCCUGAUGCAGCGACGCCGCGUGGGGGAUGACGGCCUUCGGGUUGUAAACCUCUUUUACCACCAACGCAGGCCCCGGGUUCUCUCGGGGUUGACGGUAGGUGGGGAAUAAGGACCGGCUAACUACGUGCCAGCAGCCGCGGUAAUACGUAGGGUCCGAGCGUUGUCCGGAAUUAUUGGGCGUAAAGAGCUCGUAGGCGGCGUGUCGCGUCUGCUGUGAAAGACCGGGGCUUAACCCCGGUUCUGCAGUGGAUACGGGCAUGCUAGAGGUAGGUAGGGGAGACUGGAAUUCCUGGUGUAGCGGUGAAAUGCGCAGAUAUCAGGAGGAACACCGGUGGCGAAGGCGGGUCUCUGGGCCUUACCUGACGCUGAGGAGCGAAAGCAUGGGGAGCGAACAGGAUUAGAUACCCUGGUAGUCCAUGCCGUAAACGUUGGGCGCUAGGUGUGGGGACUUUCCACGGUUUCCGCGCCGUAGCUAACGCAUUAAGCGCCCCGCCUGGGGAGUACGGCCGCAAGGCUAAAACUCAAAGGAAUUGACGGGGGCCCGCACAAG